GGUCAAGCGAACAAGUGCAUGUGGUGGAUGCCUUGGCGAUCACAGGCGAUGAAGGACGCGGUAGCCUGCGAAAAGCUUCGGGGAGCUGGCAAACAAGCUUUGAUCCGGAGAUGUCCGAAUGGGGAAACCCGGCCCGAAUGGGUCAUCCCACACUGAAUUCAUAGGUGUGGGAAGCGAACGCGGCGAACUGAAACAUCUAAGUAGCUGCAGGAACAGAAAUCAACCGAGAUUCCCAGAGUAGUGGCGAACGAAAUGGGAACAGCCUUGUACUCUUUAGCAGCAUUGUUAGCAGAACGGGAUGGAAAGCCCGGCCGUAGCAGGUGAUAGCCCUGUAUGCGAAAACAGCGUUGUGGAACUAGGUGUACGACAAGUAGGGCGGGACACGUGAAAUCCUGUCUGAAGAUGGGGGGACCAUCCUCCAAGGCUAAAUACUCGUGAUCGACCGAUAGUGAACCAGUACCGUGAGGGAAAGGCGAAAAGAACCCCGGGAGGGGAGUGAAAUAGAUCCUGAAACCGCAUGCAUACAAACAGUCGGAGCCCCGCUUUAAGCGCUUUCGGCGAUUUUUACGACAGUAAAAAUCGUCAAAAGACACCAGUGUGAAAUAGCACUGCUGGCGCGUAAAGCGGUUUAAGCGCGAGAGCGCUUAAAGCGGGGUGACGGCGUACCUUUUGUAUAAUGGGUCAGCGACUUACAUUCAGUGGCAAGCUUAACCGAUUAGGGCAGGCGUAGCGAAAGCGAGUCCGAACAGGGCGUUGAGUCGCUGGGUGUAGACCCGAAACCAGAUGAUCUAUCCAUGGCCAGGUUGAAGGUGCGGUAACACGUACUGGAGGACCGAACCCACUAACGUUGAAAAGUUAGGGGAUGAGCUGUGGAUAGGGGUGAAAGGCUAAACAAAUCUGGAAAUAGCUGGUUCUCUCCGAAAACUAUUUAGGUAGUGCCUCGUGUGUCACCUUCGGGGGUAGAGCACUGUCAUGGUUGGGGGGUCUAUUGCUGAUUACCCCGCCAUAGCAAACUCCGAAUACCGAAGAGUGCAAUCACGGGAGACAGACAUCGGGUGCUAACGUCCGGUGUCAAGAGGGAAACAACCCAGACCGCCAGCUAAGGUCCCCAAGAUUGGCUAAGUGGGAAACGAAGUGGGAAGGCUAAAACAGUCAGGAGGUUGGCUUAGAAGCAGCCACCCUUUAAAGAAAGCGUAAUAGCUCACUGAUCGAGUCGUCCUGCGCGGAAGAUGUAACGGGGCUAAGCCAGUCACCGAAGCUGCGGACGCGUGCGUUCCUUUAAGUGCACCAAGCUUGUCGAUGCGCCGCAUCGACAAAGCCCCCACCAAUGAUUGUGGUGGUGAAAAUGCUAGUGGAUUUAAAGGAGCGCACGCGUGGUAGGAGAGCGUUCUGUAAGCCUGUGAAGGUGUCUUGUAAAGGAUGCUGGAGGUAUCAGAAGUGCGAAUGCUGACAUGAGUAGCGAUAAAGGGGGUGAAAGGCCCCCUCGCCGUAAGCCCAA
rnacentral:rRNA from 1 species